GGACCGGUAGCUCAGUUGGUUAGAGCGCUGCCCUGUCACGGCAGAGGUCGCGGGUUCGAGUCCCGUCCGGUCCG
rnacentral:tRNA from 2 species